GUUUCAGGGUUGGGUGCAAUUCCCUACCGGCGGUAACUGGCAGGUCGGCGCGAAGCCGGCCGGACCGCGCGGCUGCACAAGGCAGCGCGCCAGAAGCCCGCGACCCGCGCAAGCGGCUGACCUGGUGAGAUUCCAGGGCCGACGGUACAGUCCGGAUGGAAGAAA
rnacentral:ncRNA from 1 species